AUGUCUACAGUGUCCCAGGGUCUUGCCAAAGCCCAGCUGGAUCGAGAUACGAUUAGAAGAGAUGCCAAGAGAAAUCUAUCAGAUCACAAGGACUAUAUAGAGAGAAUGUCGAAGGAGAUGUCUGAGGUGAGACGGGACCAUGACAGACUCCAGGAGGUCUUGAGCAGGGUGCAGGAGGAGUUACGGAACAUCACAGAAUUCACCUCCAUAAAAUGUCCACCUGGCUGGCAGCAGUUUCAGAAAAGUUGCUACUUCUUUUCAACAUCGACUAAAUCCUGGCAGAAUGCUAAGCAGUUCUGUACCGAUCAAGGGUCUCACCUGGUUAUUGUUAACACCAAAGAGGAACAGGUAAGCCAGCCACUCAGAUUCCUAUUGUGUAUCAUGCAGAAUGGAAGGAAUUAAGCUCAAGGGGCCAUGUUCUGUGCUGUUACACCAGGGUGAAUCUGGAGUUUCUCUAGAUUUACCCCAGCAUAACUGAGAUCACAGUCUGGCCCAAGUUCUCCAGGAAUUUAGCAAUAUCUUUGGGUGUAGCUUGCUGCUCAAGGGACAUUGA
rnacentral:lncRNA from 1 species